rnacentral:pre_miRNA from 1 species
CAUGCCUUGAGUGUAGGACUGUUGACAUCUUAAUUACCCUCCCACACCCAAGGCUUGCA